AACGAACGCUGGCGGCACGCCUAACACAUGCAAGUCGAGCGCACCUUCGGGUGAGCGGCGGACGGGUUAGUAACGCGUGGGAACGUACCCUUUUCUGCGGAAUAGCCUCGGGAAACUGAGAGUAAUACCGCAUACGCCCUUUUGGGGAAAGAUUUAUCGGUGAAGGAUCGGCCCGCGUCUGAUUAGAUAGUUGGUGGGGUAAUGGCCUACCAAGUCGACGAUCAGUAGCUGGUUUGAGAGGAUGAUCAGCAACACUGGGACUGAGACACGGCCCAGACUCCUACGGGAGGCAGCAGUGGGGAAUCUUAGACAAUGGGCGCAAGCCUGAUCUAGCGAUGCCGCGUGAGUGAUGAAGGUCUUAGGAUCGUAAAGCUCUUUCGCCAGGGAUGAUAAUGACAGUACCUGGUAAAGAAACCCCGGCUAACUCCGUGCCAGCCGCCGCCGUAAAAC
rnacentral:rRNA from 1 species